UACGUAGGGGGCAAGCGUUGUCCGGAUUUAUUGGGCGUAAAGAGCGUGUAGGCGGUUUGGUAGGUCCGUUGUGAAAACUCGAGGCUCAACCUCGAGACGCCGGCGGAAACCAUCAGGCUAGAGUCCGGAAGAGGAGAGUGGAAUUCCUGGUGUAGCGGUGAAAUGCGCAGAUAUCAGGAGGAACACCGGUGGCGAAGGCGGGUCUCUGGGCAAUAACUGACGCUGAGGAGCGAAAGCGUGGGGAGCGAACAGG
rnacentral:rRNA from 1 species